UUAAUUGAUAAUAUAGUUGGCUGGCCUGACAGAGGUGUCCGGCGCCACCACGACCCUUAGUGGAUUUUAUAUUGUGACAUACUACAAAGAUAACAAAGACAAAAUAAAUUGUCCAAAGUAUGGUCAACCUCGUUAUAAGCCUAAGAGAGGAGGCAGUGGAAGGCAAAAGGAUGUUCCAUAUAAAGUACUACGCUACUUUCCUAUAACUCCGAAAUUACAAAGGUUAUAUAUGUCAACAAAGACUGCUGAACAUAUGAUAUGGCACCAGAAAUCUCGCCGAGAACCUGGGGUAAUGAGUCAUCCAAGUGAUGGAGAGGCAUGGAAAAAGUUUGAUCAAUGCCAUCCUAAAUUUGCAGUUGAGCCUCGAAAUAUUAGGCUUGGACUUGCAGCUGAUGGGUUUAGUCCAUAUGGGCAGAUGUCCCAUCCUUAUUCUUGUUGGCCAGUAAUCAUCACACCAUACAAUCUUCCACCCGGAAUGUGCAUGAGUAGCCCGUAUAUGUUCUUAUAUAGACUUAUAUUUACAACCUCUCAUUGAUGAAUUGAAGCAAUUAUGGGUUGACGGGGCUGGACUUAUGCCUCUUAUAAGAAACAAAAUUUUCAAAUGCGAGCUGCACUUAUGUGGACUAUCAAUGACUUUCCAGCUUAUGGAAUAUUGUUUGGCUGGAGCACCCACGGUCAUUUGGCAUGCCCUUGUUGUAUGGGGAAAAGUAAGGCAUUUCAUUUAAAAGAUGGAAGAAAGGCUUCAUUCUUUGAUUGUCAUCUUAAAUUUUUGCCAGUAGGUCAUUCAUUUCGUAGGGAUAAAAAAUCAUUUUUAAAAGGUAGAGUUGAGCACUCUGCACCUCCUCCUAGGUUGUCUAGUGAAGAAGUUUGGAACAACGUGCGUGACUUGCCAAAGAUUUUCGAUAAUUGCACCUCGAAUAAGUUGCCAGGAUUUGGGGAUCAACAUAAUUGGACAAAACAAAGUAUUUUCUGGGAAUUACCAUAUUGGCACACUAAUAUUCUUCGGCAUAAUCUCGAUGUGAUGCAUAUCGAGAAAAACGUGUUUGAUAAUAUAUUUAACAUAGUAAUGGAUGUAAAAGAUAAAACGAAGGACAAUUUAAAAGCUAGAAUGGAUGUGCAUACUUAUUGCAAUCGUCCAGAGCUUGAAUUGAAGGAGCAUCAAGGGAAACAUUUGAAGCCAAAGGCAGCAUACUCACUAACAAAAGAAUAAAGGAAGUUAAUAUGUGAAUGGGUGAAAAGUUUGAGGUUUGCAGAUGGUUAUGCCUCCAAUUUGUCUAGAUGUGUAGACAUGGAAGAUUAUUAAUUAUCAAGGAUGAAGAGCCAUGAUUGUCAUGUAUUUCUAGAAAGGUUGCUACCAAUUGCAUUUCGAGAUUUUUUGCAGGGCCAAUUUGGAAUGCAUUAACAGGGAUCAGCUUAUUUUAUAAAGGUUUAUGUGCAACUGUUUUAAAAGUAGAAGAUCUACAAAAACUUGAAGAAAGCAUAAAGAUUACAAUUUGCAAGAUAGAGAAAAUAUUUCCUCCUGGUUUCUUUGAUCCCAUGGAACAUCUGCCGAUUCAUUUAGCAUAUGAAGCAAUAGUUGGUGGUCCAGUUCAGUUUCGGUGGAUGUAUCCUUUUGAGCGGGAGCUACACAAUUACAAAAAGAAGGCAGAAAAUAGAGCUCGUGUCGAGGGAUCAAUAUGUGAAGCUUAUAUCAUUCAAGAAAAUUCAACGUUCAGUUCCUAUUAUUUCCAGCCUAACGUGCAAACUAGGCUAAACAAAGUUACUCGAAAUGAUGAUGGAGAUGAAGUUGAUGCACCUGAUGGUUGUUUGUCCAUCUUUUUGCAUCCAGGACGUGCAAGUGGGGGGAGAGAUGGUCGGUAUCUGACUGAUGAUGAGUGGGAUGCGGCACGUUUAUAAGUUCUAUUAAAUUGUGAGGAGGUUCAACAAUUCGUCCAUAUUUUUGAAGCUGAAUUAAGAAGGGAUUCGGAAAAUAUUAGCCUCGAGCAAAUUGAGAAAGAGACAAAUAGUAAAUUUGCCAAGUGGUUUGAAUCAUAUGUUCUUAAUGCAGCUAAUAACAUAACUGAUGAGCGAUUGAAAGACUUAGCUUCUGGUCCUUAUAGGUGGGUGCAAACACGGCCUCAGUAUUUUACGAAUGGCUAUAAGUUCGACACUCUUACAUACGGCUCUAACAAAACAACUAUGAAUAGUGGUGUGUGCAUCAAAGGAACAAGUUGGAGUGACUAUGAAAGUGACUACUAUGGAUUGCUCAUUGAGGUGAUACAACUAGAGUAUUCUAAUUCGACAAAGAAAAGAACUACUCUCGUAUUGUUCAAAUGUGAUUGGUUUGAUCCAACAAUGGGCCGAGGGCUGAAGGUCCAUAAUCAAUAUGGUCUAAUCGAUAUCAACCAUAAGAAAAGUUUCUCGAGCUAUGCCUAUGAACGUUUUGUGUUGGCUGAACAAGCACAACAAGUAUAUUUUGCAGAAUAUCCCAGUAAAAAAAAAGAUAGGGCUGAGUGGUGAGCAGUGUGCAAAAUAAAAGCUAGAAGCCGUAUUGAUUCUCCAAAUAUCCCGUACCAAGAAGAUGAGGAUUUACCCGCGGUACUUCCAAAUGUCACUGAUGAUCUUGACUGUUUACUUCAUGAAAAUGGUGAGCUGGAAGUACAUGACUUUGAAAAAGAGACUGCUGAAAUCGAAAGAGCGCAUGAUAUUGAUGAUAUUGAAAGUGAUGAAGAGAUGGAAGAAUCUGAUGAAGAUGAACAAAGUGAUUGAAAUUUGAGAUAAAUUAUAGUGAAAAUAAUGACAUUGAAUGAUAACAAGGUGUUGAGUAUAACACAUGACUUUUACUGCAAUAUUUUUAUUUGUGUUCUUUAUUGUGAUUGCUGAUAUUUUCUGCAUCUUGAUGCCAUUUAUAAGUACAGAUACUUAAGUUUCUCAGUCAAAUAAAAAAUUUACUAAUAUAUAUUCUUUUGAAAUCUCUCUCUUUUCCACUCUGACUAUAUGUUCUGCUCUUGAGGCCCCCUAUUCUCUCUAUAAAAAAGAAAACUUUGUCAUUAGGUCCCCACCAGGUUAAAAUCAUAAUCUAUCUCCCGAGUAGAAGCCUGGAUAUUUUCUCCCAUUUUGCAGGGAUUUGCUGCUGGUCUUAUGCUCAGCAUAUCGUUCUUUGACUUGGCUCAUAAUGCUAUAAACUCCAUUGGUUUUUUGAAGGGAAACCUCUGGGUUUUUUGCAGGGGUUAUUUUUUUGCUCUUGUUUCACAUUUCAUUCCAGAACCUACACUUGCACCCAUUUCAGGUGCCAAAGGCAAAAAGAUUCGACGCACGAGGAGGUGAAUUCGAAAGGCAAGGGC